AACGAACGCUGGCGGCAGGCCUAACACAUGCAAGUCGAACGGGACCUUCGGGUCUAGUGGCGGACGGGUGAGUAACGCGUGGGAACGUGCCCUUUGGUUCGGAAUAGCCUCGGGAAACUGGGAGUAAUACCGGAUACGGUCGAGAGACGAAAGAUUUAUCGCCGAAGGAUCGGCCCGCGUUGGAUUAGGUAGUUGGUGGGGUAAAGGCCUACCAAGCCGACGAUCCAUAGCUGGUUUGAGAGGAUGAUCAGCCACACUGGGACUGAGACACGGCCCAGACUCCUACGGGAGGCAGCAGUGGGGAAUCUUAGACAAUGGGGGAAACCCGUGAUCUAGCCAUGCCGCGUGAUCGAUGAAGGCCUUAGGGUUGUAAAGAUCUUUCAGUGGGGAAGAUAAUGACGGUACCACAGAAGAAGCCCGGCUAACUCCGUGCCAGCAGCCGCGGUAAUGUGACUACUG
rnacentral:rRNA from 1 species